rnacentral:misc_RNA from 1 species
GAUGAAGAACGUAGUGAAAUGCGAUAAGUAAUGCGAAUUGCAGAAUUCCGUGAGUCAUCGAAUCUUUGAACGCACAUUGCGCCCUUUGGCAUUCCGAAGGGCAUGCCUGUUCGAGCGUCAUUUAUCAACCCUCAAGCCCGGCUUGCGGUUGGGGCCCGCCGUGGGCGACCACGGCGGACCCGAAAGGUAAUGGCGGUGCCCGUGGGGCCCUGGACGCAGCGAGCUUCUCGGCACGCGUCCCGGCGGUCCCCGGCGCCGUCUCCACCAAUCCACCACGCAGAUUGACCUCGGAUCAGGUAGGGAUACCCGCUGAACUUAAGCAUAUCAAUAAGCGGAGGA